rnacentral:tRNA from 1 species
GCGCUUGUAGCUCAGUUGGUAGAGCAGGUGACUCUUAAUCACAAGGUCGUAGGUUCAACUCCUACCAGGCGCA